rnacentral:rRNA from 1 species
CCUACGGGGGACAGCAGUGAGGAAUAUUGGUCAAUGGACGAGAGUCUGAACCAGCCAAGUAGCGUGAAGGAUGACUGCCCUAUGGGUUGUAAACUUCUUUUAUAUGGGAAUAAAAUGUUCCACGUGUGGGAUUUUGUAUGUACCAUAUGACUAAGGAUCGGCUAACUCCGUGCCAGCAGCCGCGGUAAUACGGAGGAUCCGAGCGUUAUCCGGAUUUAUUGGGUUUAAAGGGAGCGUAGGUGGAGUGUUAAGUCAGUUGUGAAAGUUUGCGGCUCAACCGUAAAAUUGCAGUUGAAACUGGCAGUCUUGAGUACAGUAGAGGUGGGCGGAAUUCGUGGUGUAGCGGUGAAAUGCUUAGAUAUCACGAAGAACUCCGAUUGCGAAGGCAGUUCACUGGACUGCAACUGACACUGAGGCUCGAAAGUGUGGGUAUCAAACAGGAUUAGAUACCCUGGUAGUC